AUUUUGGGAUAUGCCUAUCCUGCUUAUGAGUGUUACAAAACUGUCGAAACCAGUCAGCCACAGAUUGAGCAACUUCAUUAUUGGUGUCAGUACUGGAUUCUGGUGGCCAUAUUGACGAUUCUAGAGAGAAUUGGUGAUUCUUUUAUUUCAUGGUUUCCAUUCUACAAUGAAGCAAAGUUGGCCUUCUUCGUUUAUCUGUGGCAUCCAAAAACAAAGGUAUGAGGAAGG